GACGAACGCUGGCGGCGUGCUUAACACAUGCAAGUCGAACGGAAAGGCCCUGCUUUUGUGGGGUGCUCGAGUGGCGAACGGGUGAGUAACACGUGAGUAACCUGCCCUUGACUUUGGGAUAACUUCAGGAAACUGGGGCUAAUACCGGAUAGGAGCUCCUGCUGCAUGGUGGGGGUUGGAAAGUUUCGGCGGUUGGGGAUGGACUCGCGGCUUAUCAGCUUGUUGGUGGGGUAGUGGCUUACCAAGGCUUUGGCGGGUAGCCGGCCUGAGAGGGUGACCGGCCACAUUGGGACUGAGAUACGGCCCAGACUCCUACGGGAGGCAGCAGUGGGGAAUAUUGCACAAUGGGCGGAAGCCUGAUGCAGCAACGCCGCGUGCGGGAUGACGGCCUUCGGGUUGUAAACCGCUUUCGCCUGUGACGAAGCGUGAGUGACGGUAAUGGGUAAAGAAGCACCGGCUAACUACGUGCCAGCAGCCGCGGUGAUACGUAGGGUGCGAGCGUUGUCCGGAUUUAUUGGGCGUAAAGGGCUCGUAGGUGGUUGAUCGCGUCGGAAGUGUAAUCUUGGGGCUUAACCCUGAGCGUGCUUUCGAUACGGGUUGACUUGAGGAAGGUAGGGGAGAAUGGAAUUCCUGGUGGAGCGGUGGAAUGCGCAGAUAUCAGGAGGAACACCAGUGGCGAAGGCGGUUCUCUGGGCCUUUCCUGACGCUGAGGAGCGAAAGCGUGGGGAGCGAACAGGCUUAGAUACCCUGGUAGUCCACGCUGUAAACGGUGGGUACUAGGUGUGGGGUCCAUUCCACGGGUUCCGUGCCGUAGCUAACGCUUUAAGUACCCCGCCUGGGGAGUACGGCCGCAAGGCUAAAACUCAAAGGAAUUGACGGGGCCCCGCACAAGCGGCGGAGCAUGCGGAUUAAUUCGAUGCAACGCGUAGAACCUUACCUGGGUUUGACAUGGAUCGGGAGUGCUCAGAGAUGGGUGUGCCUCUUUUGGGGUCGGUUCACAGGUGGUGCAUGGCUGUCGUCAACUCGUGUCGUGAGAUGUUGGGUUAAGUCCCGCAACGAGCGCAACCCUUGUUCACUGUUGCCAGCACGUUAUGGUGGGGACUCAGUGGAGACCGCCGGGGUCAACUCGGAGGAAGGUGGGGAUGACGUCAAGUCAUCAUGCCCCUUAUGUCCAGGGCUUCACGCAUGCUACAAUGGCUGGUACAGAGAGUGGCGAGCCUGUGAGGGUGAGCGAAUCUCGGAAAGCCGGUCUCAGUUCGGAUUGGGGUCUGCAACUCGACCUCAUGAAGUCGGAGUCGCUAGUAAUCGCAGAUCAGCAACGCUGCGGUGAAUACGUUCCCGGGGCU
rnacentral:rRNA from 1 species